UUAACGACAUGGCGGUCAAAUUACAUCAAAAUGCUCAGUUUAACGACAUGGCGGUCAAAUUACAUUUGAUUGCUCAGUUUAACGACAUGGCGGUCAAAUUACAUCAAAAUGCUCACCCUUUUGAAAGCAAUCGAAAUUGUUACACAUAACUGACUCUAAGGCGAGUUAGUGGAAAAAAAUAUAUUUUGGGUAAUAGGAGACAUGGUUUGAUUUUUUUUUUUUUUUUUUUUUUUUUUUUUUUUUUACCUCGAGAAGCAAUCGAAAUUGCCACAUAACUGACCCUAAGGUGAGUUAGCAUUCCGUCAUAGGCAAAAUAUAUUUUGGGUGAUCUGGCGCCCAUAUGGGUUUUCACCAGAUACCUUCCCCUAACUUUUGCCUGUGAGCCUCGAAAGGUUUUCUCACAGCGGGGAUCCCAAUUUUGCCUGUCGGGUUAUACCACAGCCGAAAAUUUUUUGCAUUUUUACCCUUGAAGUCCAAUAUGGACAGUCAAGUCCGCUGGUGACUCAUCUUUUACCCAUAUUAUCUAAAAAAAAUUAGAUAACAUGUCCUCCACUUUUUAUUUUAUACAUAAUAUUUCUUUAAGAAACGGCCGUUGAUAGGUGGCAUUGGCCUUUCACCUUUGGCGUCGAUUAAUU
rnacentral:lncRNA from 1 species